ACUUAUUAUGAUAAGCCAUGCAUGUGUAAGUAUGAGAAGUACUCGAGACUGCGAAUGGCUCAUUAUAUCAGUUAUAGUUUAUUUGAUAGUCCCUUACUACUUGGAUAACCGUAGUAAUUCUAGAGCUAAUACAUGCGUCAAGAUCCGACUUUGGGAGGAUUGUAUUUAUUAGGUUACAAAACCAACCCUCUCUCGGGAGGUAGUUUGGGUGAGUCAUGAUAAGCAUGCGGAUCGCAGGGCUUUACGCCAGCGACGGAUCAUGUAAGUUCCUACCCUAUCAGCUUCGGAUGGUAGGGUAUUGGCCUACCAUGGCAUUAACGGGUAACGGGAGAUCAGGGUUUGACUCCGGAGAGGGAGCCUGAGAGACGGCUACCACAUCUAAGGAAGGCAGCAGGCGCGUAAAUUACCCAAUCCUAAUUCAGGGAGGUAGUGACAAGAAAUAACGGGUCGGGGCUAUGCCCCGGGACUGCAAUGAGAUGAAUUUACACCCCUUUUCGAGU
rnacentral:rRNA from 1 species